UUAGAGCCGGAGCCACCCCCGCCCGCAGGGGGCGCGUCGGAGCUGCCCCACAGCUGGAGCCGCCGCAGGUCGCGUCGGAGCCGGCCCGCCGCUGGAGCCACCGCUGGAACCGCCGCAGGUCACAUCGGAGCCGCCCCGCCGCUGGAACCGCCGCAGGUCGCGCUGGAGCCGCCCGCCGCGAGCCGCUGGUCUCCGUUGGCCUUUUCAACACCUCCACGAGCAAGCGACCCACGCGCACACCACUCUCCGCUGCACCAGUGAGGAAGUGAUGGUGCACGAGGACGAGCUUCCCGGACAAGAAGAUCUCCGUACUCUUCUCGGUGAUGCAAAGUUGAGGUUUGGAUUUUGGCAUCCGAUCUAUUGCUUUGUCGGACGAAACUUAACUGUUUGUUUUUAUUAUAGCUUAGAUCAGUCUAUUUUAAUCUUUUAUGCUUAUCUUUCAUUCAAGGCUUCAAACCGCACUCGAUUGCAAAACAAAAUUCAGACAACCGAUUGCUGAAUCCUAGACUUUCUCAUAGUUAUAACUAAUAAGACCUGCAACCAUCGAAUCUUUUGGUUGCACUCUCAGCUGAUAUAUGAGAUCGAUCAUCUCAUCCUACCUGUUCGGAAUUGCGGAUUCCGAAGUUCCUUUUUUGAUUCUGUUGAUUGUAAUGUUAAAUAUGGCUCCUAAUUGGAUACAUACUUGUCUAAACGAUUGGUGCAGCUGCAGAUCAUCUAUAUUGAUUCUGGAGACCGAUUCUUGGUGCUGCUGCAGAUCGUCUACAUUGAUUCUGGACGUCGAUUCUUCAUUUACCCUUCUCAUUACCAUUUGCUAACUUAAUCACCUCUCUCUCAUGUUGGUUCUGAAGAUCUUUUAUGUGUCAUGUCGACAAAGGCGUUUGAUAAGAGAUCCAAGCAGGCUGCAUGUGAGGUGAAUCAAGGUAAUAUGUAUGAUGUAGUCUAGGAGCCGCCCUUCGCCGUGGUCCGCAGGUCGCCGAGCCGCCGCCCCGGAGCCGCCCUUCGACGCGGCCCGCAGGUUCCCCAGCCGCCGCCCUGGAGCCACCCUUCGCCGCAGGUCGCCGCUGCCGGAGCCGCCCUUCGCCACAUGUCUCCUCCCUGCUGGCCGCCCUGCCCUCCACCGCUCUUAUCUUCAAGCCCAAGGCACACACGCGAUCCCCUCAGCUUCUGUCCUUUCUUCAACCCACCGAUUCGUUUUCUGCAUUAUGAAUUGUUCCCGUCUGAACAUCUACGCGAUCCAAUUACAAUAGAAGCAUAAAUCCCUAUAUAUAUGCAUAAGAGCAAAUCUUCCCCCAAACGGCAGAACAGAGGUCCCUCUUUCAAAUGACUGAAGAUUGGUUAUCCCAUAACCAGACGCAGAGGGAGAAAUUUAGUUCCAUAACCUCCAUAUAAAUACCAUCAUCCUUGUUCCCUCCUUCCCACUUCUGUUAAAUUGUUAGAAACCUAGACUCAUGGGUAAAGGAAUUAUUUGAUUCAGUGCUUUGUCAGAUCAAAAAUAGAAUCUAGCUAAGGAGCACAUGUCCUAUUUUGCAGGUGAUAUAUACUCGAAGGCAUGAAACUGGUAUUUAAUAAUACUCCAGGUGAGAUAUAUGCAGGUGUUAUGGAUUGUGGUUUCGAGGAAAACAAUUAUGGAACUCAAUAUGCAUCCGUUAAGUUUCUGAAGCUUGAUCGACAUCUUUUAUCAGUUGUUAAUUAGUACUAGGAUUCUUAUGCAUGUCUACUGCUGUUUAGGAAACUAAAGACAUGAUGGUUCCGUUUGGGACGAAAAAGAAAAGUAGCACCAGGUGUGUUAACCCAAUGCUUAGGUGAUUAAAUGCAGAUAAAAAAAUUAUCCCCUGUUUGAGCAGUAUGGAAGUACACAUGGUUAUUUGGUCAGUGGCCUUCUUGGCAUAUGUAGAUUUUCUGUGUUCUGAAUUUUUAGCCCUUGUGAUUCUUGUAGGUUAUGCUUUAUUCAGGCGUAUAACUUGUACUUCCAUUGCUCUACAUUUUACUUAAAUCACAUAUUUGACACUUUGUACAAUCUGCAGUUAAUUACUAAAUCCCCAGAGUUGCAGAGGAGUUCUACAUUAUUUCAUUAGUCCAUUUAGAGCAUGUCAAUUGGAUGUAUAAGUUAUUUAGGGGUAAAAUCAACUUCCCUCUGAAGUCUGCUGCUGGUCAUGCUCUUUUAUAUGAUGGUCUGAUCUGGUCACACUCUUUCGACAGUCGAUGCAUAUUUUCUUUUGGGUAAUUUGCUUCACCUAAGCUUCAGUAGCACUGUGCAUGGCCCUUUGAGUUCAUAUCUUCUAUUGGCGUCUGAAAACUAUCAUUUUUGGUCAUCUGAUAUCACUCUAUUCAUGCUAUCAAUUUUUCUUUCUCACUAUAUGGUAGUCCUUGACCUGUUUGUGUCAUCGGAGAAGGGAAUUUUCCUUUUUUUCACUUUUAUCUUGUUUUCUUUUAAUAUAUUGGUUUUAGUUGUAUAUUAUAGAAGGAUUGGACAUGGAGAUCUAAGAUGGAAGCGUUUGUGUAUAUACUGUACCUCUGUAUAUCUUUCCAAGUUCCAUCUUGCUUUAUCAUACAUUUUAAAAGAAUAGUUGUUUUCUGAGUCAUUGAUGUACUUAUGUUGUGUUGUCACCGACCAUGAGUAUAUAACAGUUUGUUGGACAAAAGUAUUCUUGUGGUCUGUGCCAUGGUUGGGCACCAUAUUAAAUAUAAAAUGAUAACAUUGCAAGCAUUUUUAUUUUGAAGGGCUAACAAGAAAGGAUUUCUUCCGGCAGCAUAACAAAGAACCCAUUGGGUAGAUGCAACACCCGAAUGCCUUUUUGACUAAAUCAUUUUAAUUAACUAAUUACAGUGGCGGAGCUAGAUGGGGAGGCAAAGGGAAAAUACAUCAAUUCUUGAGCGGUCCAAAAACUAUAAUUUGUUUUAUUAAGCACCCCCAAGAGUUCUUUAUUCACACAUUUUUUCAAGGUUGGGGGUUUAAUGUAAGUUUUCUGCUAUUAAAACUGCAACUUUCCAUCCUGAUUGUGUCCAUGAUUAAGUUUUGGGUGUGGGCAGGGCAGGAGAUCAAGCACUCCGUCCUCUGCCAGGUCGCCGCCGCUGCCCGGGACGUGGACGCGCACGUGGGUCCGUCAGUCGCUGGCAAACAAGGUCGAGUCCGUGCAGAGCACUGGUCUCCUCCCUAUCGUCGUCGUCCUCCCUGCUGCCAGCGACGCCCUCCUGUCUCCUCUGCACCAGUCUACUCCUUCAUAUUAUUUACAAAAGAAAAUGGUUUGGGGUGAAGAGUUGAAGGCUUGAAGCCAAAUGUUCCUAAUCAAGAAGAUGACCCGCACAACUCCCCUGAAACAAGGCCAACACUAUGUGCCAAGAUUGAAGAUCCCAAAUAUGUUUACUUUGGUCCAAUAUCGUAUAGCAGUGUAAUGCUUCAGGCACUUUUUAUCAUUCAUUUUUAUUAUUCAAAUCUCUAUAUGGUUGCCAUAGAUGCUACUAUUACAUGGAUUUAUUACUAUUUUUCAUGUGUUGUUGAAAAUAGAACUCACUCA